rnacentral:lncRNA from 1 species
GAAAUUUCAACUAGCAAAAUAGCAAGAAAAGUUUAAUCUAGAACCAAAGGACAUAGCAAGCAAUGUGUGCCUUAAAGUGGAGUCAUUACCUCUGAACUUCUUCUGAGAACAACCUAUCAGACUUGCAUUUUAACAUUCCAUUGAACUUGAAGGAAGAAAAUAAAUUUUUUAGAGAGGAUGACGACCGAAGAUUUUUGACCACCUCCUAACAAGCGGUUGCGCUCAUGUUAGGUUUACUCUCAAACACAUGAAUCUCAAUAACUCCUAGAACCUCAAUAGGCUUCUUAUAAACUGAUAAGAUAAAAAAAAUAAGAGAAUAAUAACAAUAAGUUUUCUACUUUAAAAAAAAUAAUGAGUUUUCUUAUAGAAUCACCUAACCAAUAAUUUCAACUUUCAAUUAAGUAGUACAAACCUAAAAAUAUUGAUAAAUAAAGAGCUAUAUAAUCUCCCCAUGUGAUAACAAGCUGCAGAGUAUAAUGUUAUGUUAUAGAUGCACCCUUGUUGAACCCUUCAGUCCUAACUUUCAUUGUCACAUAAUGAAGAAAACAACUCAUCAUUCAAAAAGGAGAUCUAUAAAAUUGGAACCCUAAGCAAUGGAACCACAAAAAUUGAAUAACAAAAUUCUGAAAUUCAGAUAUUCCAUAAAAACGUGAAAGUUUAGGUCAUCGGGAUAGAGUUUAAUAUCUUCACAAUAGAAAGAAAAAACACUGAAACAAAAAUAGAUACAAAAUGCAAAGAAACAAGUCUUUGAACAAAUAGAUACAUAAGUGGCCAAUAACUAAACAAAAUCCAAAAACACCAAACCACAAAACACCCCAACAAGAACCACACCAGUGCAGAACUAUAAAUCAAACUACAAAACUACCAACAACACAACAGAACUACAACAAAAAUUGUCCCUAAGAAGCAAAGAAACAAUCUAGAAAAAACACAACAGAUCGAGGACCACAAUGAAACAGUUCCAACAACGAUUUGAAAGCAUGCUCAAAGGGAAGGAAGAAGAAGGGGAAAACAAACCUGAACGUGUAUCAGGACGGCAACGAUUUCUCCACGACAACAAUUUUUGGAAUUGGAACGAUAAUGAUGUUCAAGAGAAUGGUUUCUCUUUGGAGACAUCGGUGAAGAGGUUGGAGAGAACGAGAUCGCCGAGAGUGAUUUAGGGAUUUACGGUGAAGAGAACGAUUGAAGACACUGGAGAUCAUGUUUUAGGGAUUUAGGGAUUUGUGAUAGUGUGAGUGAGUUUUGAUAAAUCGUGUUAGGUAGUGAUUUUUUUUUUCUUCUUUUUUUUGCAAAAGCCAAAACAUUGCAACUGUUCACUUAACUGUCGCA